GAUCGACAAAAAAAUCGUCCGCACAGAAAUUGGCGUCCUGCUGCGUCUGUCCCAUCCGAACAUCAUUCAGCUGAAGGAAAUCUUUGAGACGGACACCGACAUCGCUUUAGUGCUGGAACUGGUGACAGGAGGAGAGCUGUUUGACAGAAUCGUGGAGCGG